GAAUAUUGGACAAUGGGCGCAAGCCUGAUCCAGCCAUGCCGCGUGAGUGAAGAAGGCCUUAGGGUUGUAAAGCUCUUUCAGCGGGGAAGAUAAUGACGGUACCUACAGAAGAAGCACCGGCUAACUCCGUGCCAGCAGCCGCGGUAAUACGGAGGGUGCAAGCGUUAAUCGGAAUUACUGGGCGUAAAGCGCACGUAGGUGGUUUUGUAAGUCGGAUGUGAAAGCCCUGGGCUUAACCUGGGAAUUGCAUUCGAUACUGCUUGACUAGAGUAUGGUAGAGGGAAGUGGAAUUUCCGGUGUAGCGGUGAAAUGCGUAGAUAUCGGAAGGAACACCAGUGGCGAAGGCGACUUCCUGGGCCAAUACUGACACUGAGGUGCGAAAGCGUGGGUAGCAAACAGG
rnacentral:rRNA from 1 species